UGGUGCCGUCAGGGGUGACCGAGAGGAAAGUGGGUCCGCUGGAUAAACCUGACAUGGUGUCAGUUGAUGUCAUUAACAUCAAUGAUUCAGAUGUCAACUUGCACAGGAAGAAGCAUGAACAUGACACAUACGUCUUGGGAACCAUUCAUCCAUUCAGGAAGACGCACAGAUCCAUCUUUGGGAAACUUGUGCAGGAAUUGAGACUGGUCUCCUCAGAUAGACGG